rfam:Hordeum vulgare subsp. vulgare, WGS project CAJW01000000 data, contig: morex_contig_163205
UAAAUACUCCCUUCGUCCGGAAUUAUUUAUCUCAUAAAUGAAUAAAAAGAUGUAUCUAGAACUAAAAUACAUACAGAUACAUCCAUUCUUAUGUCAAGUAUUUCCGGACGAAGGGAGUAUUUA